rnacentral:lncRNA from 1 species
AUAUGUUUGACUUUCUUGACCUCUAAUAUUCAUUUCUCUUCUGUUUACCAUUGGUGGAUGAUGACUUGGUUCACAUUUGAUCAUUGUGUUUUGAUUAUGUCAUUUGAAUUCUCAUUCAUCCAUUUCAUUUCAUCUUCAUCUUCUUCUUUUUAUUUUGGCCAAUGAGUUAAUGAUUUGUGGUUUGUCUUGACAUAUGAGAGGCUUAAC